rnacentral:rRNA from 1 species
AGAGUUUGAUCCUGGCUCAGGACGAACGCUGGCGGCGUGCUUAACACAUGCAAGUCGAGCGGUAAGGCCCUUCGGGGCACACGAGCGGCGAACGGGUGAGUAACACGUGAGCAACCUGCCCCUGACUCCGGGAUAAGCGGUGGAAACGCCGUCUAAUACCGGAUACGACCCUCCUCCGCAUGGUGGGGGGUGGAAAGUUUUUUCGGUCGGGGAUGGGCUCGCGGCCUAUCAGCUUGUUGGUGGGGUAACGGCCUACCAAGGCGAUUACGGGUAGCCGGCCUGAGAGGGCGACCGGCCACACUGGGACUGAGACACGGCCCAGACUCCUGCGGGAGGCAGCAGUGGGGAAUAUUGCGCAAUGGGCGAAAGCCUGACGCAGCGACGCCGCGUGGGGGAUGACGGCCUUCGGGUUGUAAACCUCUUUUACCACUCACGCAGGCCCCACGUUUUCGUGGGGGUUGACGGUAGGUGGGGAAUAAGGACCGGCUAACUACGUGCCAGCAGCCGCGGUAAUACGUAGGGUCCGAGCGUUGUCCGGAAUUAUUGGGCGUAAAGAGCUCGUAGGCGGCGUGUCGCGUCUGCUGUGAAAGACCGGGGCUUAACCCCGGUUCUGCAGUGGAUACGGGCAUGCUAGAGGUAGGUAGGGGAGACUGGAAUUCCUGGUGUAGCGGUGAAAUGCGCAGAUAUCAGGAGGAACACCGGUGGCGAAGGCGGGUCUCUGGGCCUUACCUGACGC